AACGACCGCUGGCGGAAUGCUUUACACAUGCAAGUCGAACGGUAGAGGGGGCAACCCCUCGAGAGUGGCGAACGGGUGAGUAAUAUAUCGGAACGUGCCCAGUCGUGGGGGAUAACGUAGCGAAAGUUACGCUAAUACCGCAUACGCUCUAAGGAUGAAAGCGGGGGAUCGCAAUACCUCGCGCGAUUGGAGCGGCCGCUAUCAGAUUAGGUAGUUGGUGGGGUAAAGGCUCACCAAGCCAACGAUCGGUAGCCUGUCUGAGAGGACGACCAGCCACACUGGAACUGGGACACGGUCCAGACUCGUACGGGAGGCAGCAGUGGGAAAGUUUGGACAAUGGACGCAAGUCUGAUCCAGCCAUUCCGCGUGCAGGAUGAAGGCCCUCGGGUUGUAAACAGCUUGUGUACGGAACGAAAAGGUCUCUCUUAAUACGGGGGACGCAUGACGGUACCGUAAGAAUAAGCACCGGCUAACUACGUGCCAGCCGCCGCCGUAA
rnacentral:rRNA from 1 species